rnacentral:misc_RNA from 1 species
UUUCUCUUCCGGCUGGAUGAAAGUCGACAUUUUUGCUGUAAUAUAAUUAUGCAGAUUGCAUGAUUAGAAUGACCUGGUUGAAGGCUUCGGCAUGUCUGAUUUUGAAGAGGCUGUCCUGAAUCCGAGCCUGAAACCACAUAGCAUGUCACACUGCCUCCCUCUCCUGCACAAACCUAAAUAUUUGAUUAGAGCACACAGCCACUUCAUCCUGAUGAGGGCAGCCAUUAGACCUUGUUCCUCAUCCAUUAAUUCCACUGGAGAUGUCCAGAACCAAAUCAUGCAGCUAUUACAUUAUUCAGAUGAGCUUGGCCACCAACUUCUGACAGAGUAAUGUAUGGAGAUUGAUUAUUUCAAAUUUAAAUGAAAAAGAUUCCUUCCUGUAUUCAAAACUUCCAACUUUAACAAAAAGUGUUGGCCUAUGUGGAACAUAUUCAUGGAAAAUGGCACUUCAAUGAAAUUCGGGCAAUUUUCUCCCGCCUAUAUCUCCUGCAAAAUGUUGCAAUUGAAAUCUUUAUGGCUAACAGAACUGCUGUUAUGUUUGCCUUUCCUGAUCAUGCCACGGUCAAACGAGUUGUCAAUGCGCUGCCGCGAGUCGGAGUGGGAGUCAAGUAUGGCUUGACGCAAUCUAGGAGAAUGUCAAUGGCUUCAGGAAAACAACUGUUCAGACUGUCUGGUAUGACCCAGAAAUGGCAGAGGAGGGAAAUCUCCAACUUUGACUAUCUGAUGUACCUCAACACCAUAGCAGGUCGUACAUAUAAUGAUUUGAAUCAGUACCCAGUGUAUCCCUGGGUGAUCGUCAACUAUGAUACAGAUGAGUUAGACCUUAAACAACCAAGCAAUUUUAGAGAUCUGUCAAAACCUAUAGGUGCUCUGAACCCCACAAGAAGAGAAUUUUUUCAGGAGCGUUAUAACUCAUGGGAGCAUGAUCAAAUCCCACCAUUCCAUUAUGGCACUCAUUAUUCAACGGCAGCUUUUACUCUGAACUGGCUCAUAAGAGUGGAGCCAUUUUCUACAAUGUUUUUGAACCUUCAAGGUGGCAAAUUCGACCACGCCAACAGAACCUUCAGCUCUAUAGCUCAGUCUUGGAAGAAUUGUCAGAGAGACACUUCUGAUGUGAAGGAGUUGAUCCCCGAGUUCUACUUUCUCCCAGAAAUGUUCAUCAAUCAAAAUAGAUACAAGUUUGGAAAGCAAGAAGAUGGCGGAGAAGUUGGUGAUGUGGAGAUGCCACCAUGGGCCAAGAACCCUGAUGAUUUUGUCCGAAUAAACAGAAUGGCCUUAGAAUCUGAAUUUGUGUCUUGUCAACUUCAUCAUUGGAUUGAUCUGAUAUUUGGCUACAAACAAAGAGGUCCAGAAGCAGUGAGGUCCACCAAUGUCUUCUAUUACCUGACCUACGAGGGCAGUGUAAACCUAGAGAGUAUGACUGACCUAGUCAUGAAGGAGGCCAUAGAGAACCAGAUUAAGAGUUUUGGACAGACCCCCACCCAGCUCCUGGCUGAGCCCCACCCUCCCCGCAGUUCUCUGAUGCACUUGACUCCGAUGAUGUUUUCGACAGUCCAGGAUGAUGUGUGUAUGAUCAUGAAGUUCCUGUCCAACUCCCCGGUCAUUCACAUCGCCGCCAACACCCACCCUGCCGUUCCCAACCCCGCGGUCACAACCAUCACAUGUAACCACAACUUUGCCGUCAACAAAUGGAACACCACAUACCAACUAACCAACACUGGCCUUCAGAGAAGAUCCCUAGGGGACAACUUUGACGAGAGAAUAAAACCUACCCACCAGAGCUUUGUCACUUCAGCAGACAACCGCUUCAUCUUUGCCUGUGGAUUCUGGGACAAGAGCUUCAGAAUAUUCAGUUCCGAGUCUGGGAAGAUCCUUCAGGUGGUGAAUGGCCACUUUGAUGUGGUGACCUGUAUCACACGCUCCGAGUGUAACCUGAAUCAGGACUGUUACAUUGUGACCGGGUCCAAGGACUGUACCGCCAUGGUCUGGAUGUUCACCUCCAGAAACCAGGCCAUCAUAGGCGACAAUGGAAGUCUAGAACACCCCACCCCCAAGGCCACCCUCACCGGUCACGAGUCGGAGGUCAUUUGUGUGGCUGUACUCGCUGAACUUGGACUGGUACUGAGCGGCUCUAAAGGCGGUGCUUGCUUGGUCCACUCUCUGAAUGGAGACCUCUUGCGAUCCCUGGACCCUCCCAAAGGCUGCCUGUCCCCAGAGCUUAUCAUUGUGUCCAGAGAGGGCUUCGUACUGGUCAAGUUUGACCAGGGACAUAUAUGCAAUUUCAGCAUCAAUGGACGUCUGCUACAGAACGUGAAUCACAGAGAUGUUGUACAUACGAUGAUACUGAGUCGAGACGGACAGUACAUGAUGCUGGGUGGGGACUCUGGGAUCGUGGAAGUUUGGAGGUCACAUGAUCUAACUCUUCUGUAUACGUACCCCCCGUGUGAUAGUAGCAUCAGGUCACUCGCCUUAACGCACGACCACAAGUUCUUGUUAGCAGGACUUGGCACAGGAUGUUUGCUGGUCUUUAACAUCGACUUCAACAAGUGGCACCAUGAGUUCCAGGAGAAAUACUGACACUCCCUCUCUAGUCUCCAACAUUCCAGUGUGUGUGGGGGUGGGGCUUUGGGUUGAUGCUCACAGAGGGCACACUCCCCCUCCCCCUGGAUUUAGGUCAUUGUUUGAAUUAUUGCGAUGCAAUAUCUUGUUUGUGGAUUUAUUCUGUGCAAUGUUGACUUCAUAGCCCGGACGUAAAUGUGUUUUAAUAUUAGGGAAUCAUGUAGCUGUUUAUUAGAAGAGUGGGUUUUUUAUAUUCAGUUAGGAGGGAAUCUGUGAUAGUUAGAGAAAUAUUUAUUUAUAAAGCAUGAACAACAUACUUCUAUUUUUUCACAAGUGCAGUGGAAAAAUGACACAUAAUUUAUAGAUGGAAUAUGCUUUCAAAGUGUAUGUCUACUAGAAUAACAUUCCAUUGGACAGCUGGUGUGAUAUUUCCUCCUAUUUAAGGAGAUCUGCAGAUGCUUGUUAAGUUUUAGUUCUGAACUGAAACCCAUAUGUACCAAAAAUGUUUAUUCAGCUUUUUCAUAUGUAAAAAAUUAUAUCAUUAUGCAAAAUAAUGGCUUAUUUAAUGAAAUUAUAGCUUUUUUUCUUCAAGUGCCCAGCCAUUUUUUUUUCAUAUCUAAGAUAUAUCCUGACUUUGUAGCUCUGAUGUCUGUAGGCUGGGGGUUCUAUAUGGGGGACACAGACUACUGUAUGGGGGACACAGGCUACAUCUGGCCCUGUACUCAGUGCACAUACAUAUCAUCUCAUCCCUCAUGGCGUGUUAGGUUGUGUAUCAGUCACUAACCAAUGGCUGCUUGUCUUUAUUUUAUGCUGGAUUUGUAAGGGAAAUUGUGAUUUGUUGUUAUAAAUAGAACCAUAGCCUAAUAAACUAUUACACUC